rnacentral:rRNA from 1 species
CCUACGGGAGGCAGCAGUGAGGGAUCUUGGGCAAUGGGCGAAAGCCUGACCCAGCGACGCCGCGUGCGGGAAGACGCCCUUCGGGGUGUAAACCGCUUUUGCCGGGGACGAGCAAGGACGGUACCCGGCGAAUAAGGCCCGGCCAACUACGUGCCAGCAGCCGCGGUAAAACGUAGGGGCCAAGCGUUACCCGGAUUUACUGGGCGUAAAGCGCGCGUAGGUGGGGCCUUAAGUCGAGCGUGAAAGCCCCAGGCUCAACCGGGGGAGGCCGUCCGAAACUGAGGCCCUUGAGGGCGAGAGAGGGUGGGGAAAUUCCGGGUGGAGGGGUGAAAUGCGUAGAGAUCGGGAGGAACACCAGUGGGGAGGCCGGCCCCCUGGCUCGUUCCUGACACUGAGGCGCGAAAGCGGGGGGAGCAAACCGGAUUAGAUCCCCGGGUAGU